GGGGAUUUAGCUCAGUGGUAGAGCGCUUGCUAUAGCAAGCGCAAGGCCCUGGGUUCGGUCCCCAGCUCCA
rnacentral:tRNA from 1 species